GGCCAGGAACGGAUGCUGCUGUUGCUAUGGCGACUUAUAUUUGCACCGUUUUAAUAACCUCGCCCGACGCAGGCGAUCAGACGCGCCGGGGCACCUCCCCGUCACUGAGCUCCAACCCAUACGUGACGGCGCGCGAUGCCGUGGGCGCCGAGGCGUGAAGAAGUGAAAAGCAAAGAGAAAUAAGUCAUCGGGAGCCGGAACGCCACCCCUGUUUGAGGGGGGAGCAGAGGCACAUCCGGGGUGGCCUUGAGGGUGGGAAGGCGUGGUUCUCACGGACGGAGCGGGGAAACGACGCUGCCCGAGAAGUACCUUCGAGGCCCCUGUUUCUCUCGCCCAGAGGAAAACCCCGCUGCUGGCCACCGAAGAAGACAGAACGGGCGCGUCCUCACCGCCGCCGCCGUCGGACACCCGACCGCUGCACUCAGACAAAGCCGCCCCCCUCCGUCGUGAGUCAAGCUGUGCCGAGGACCGGGGUCGAGGGAGGUCGCUAUUCUCAGAGGGUGCCCGUCGGUGUAUCUUAUCUUCCUUUGAUAAAGGCUCGGAGGGAUCAAAGGGACUGCACGCCGACUUCCGCGCGUUAUUCAUGUGCCAGAAGCCCCGCUUUUCACAGGGAUCAGACACUGCUGUCAGCUGGUGCAUGUGCGUGUGUGUGCGUGUGCGUGUGCGUGUGUGCUGACCGGCACCACGUGACCACGUGAGGGAUUCCCCGCUGGGAGGAAGGACGGGCCUGGUUCUCCUGAACCGCAGGAGCAGGAGCAGGUGCGCGGGGGGAAGAACUGUCGUCCGGGGGGACACAGACAUGGGAUGUCAGAGGGAGCGCUGAUGGCCGUGUGGGAAGCAACCAGUCGAUGUGUCUCUCACACGUCAAUGUUUCUCUCUCCGAGUGGUGGCCUCCCGCACGUCCGUGCCCCAACCAGGCCCGGGGAUGGAAGCCGCCACGGAGGUGCGUGCCCGUGACCUGGAAUCGAACCUGAGACUCUUCGAUGCGUGGGCCGACGCUCUAACCACUGAGCUACACUGGCCAGGGCCCUGCAAAGAGAGGACCGAGCCCGCCCGCCCGCGUGGCGCGAGGCCACCUUAUCGAGCUGGUGCCACGAUGCCAAGUGGAUGAUUAAUUGCCUCCCAGGAGGUGAUGGGCACGGAUGCAGGAUGCAGAAGGAACCCAGGGCUGAUGGGGGUGCCGCUCCCACGAACACGUGGGGAACCCGAAGCCCCAAGCAACGCCGCUGAUGGGAAGAAAUGACAGCUGGCCCCGCCACUAGGUCCCCUGAUGGCACUUUUCAACCCCGGAGAGAACCCUUCAGCGUCACCAAACUUCGAAAGACGACGCCGUACACCCGGCGGGAAUGUAAAACAGCCUCGAAUGUCAGCGGCAAUUUAAAAGUGAAAUUAAAAAAUGAUUAAAAAGCUGGGAGCACGUGCGUGUACAUCGCAGCGUUUACAAGGCACCGGCAUUUGCAUUCUGCGCAGAGAGGGUGUCUUGGUGGUCCGCGGCGGCGACGGCAGGCUUUGCAGGGAGGGACCGGGAUGUGCUACCCGUUACUUAUUAAAACAAUGAGAUGCGCGUUGAAUAAAACAUGCCGACAGCCCCGAGGUCGGGAGCCCGGGGGUCCAGCAACGGUGGCUGCGAGCGCGUCCCAUCCUGCCUCCCGCCUGGAACGUGUCCUGAGAAGCCAGGUGAGCCCGGCCGCCGGCGUGACUCAGGGGUUGAGCAUCGACCUAGGAACCAGGAGGUCAGGGUUCCAUUCCCCGUCAGGUCACAGGCCCGGGUUGUGGGCUCCGUCCCCAGUGGGGGGGGGAUGCAGGGAGCAACCGAUUCGUGAUUCUCUCUCAUCAUGGAUGUUUCUAUCACUCUCCCUUCCUCUCUCUGAAAUCAAUAAAGAUAUCCUAUAUAAUAAAAGGGUAAUAUGCAAAUUGUCCCCUCGACUGGGAGUUUGACUGGAGUUUGACCAGGCGGUGGGACCGGCCCGCCCUGCCCCUAGUUGGCCCUCCACACCCUGAUUCUGGGCAGAGCCGGCCCACCAACCAACCUCUCACAUUUCCUCCCCAGCCGACCCGGCCGAUCGGCCCAGAUGGGGCGGGCCGGCCAGACCCCACCCGUGUGUGAAUCCAUGCACCGGGCCUCUCGUAUAUAAAAUAAAAAGCCAGGUGACACCCCUCCCCAGCCCCUCCGGUGACCAGUCCACUCUCAGGAGGCUCCGGGCUGCCUGCACCCCCCGCGUCCCUCCUGAGGCGGAACCCAGGCUGUCUCCGUGUUUGCACCAGACAGACAGGGCUCCGGAGACCCCGGGGGGCCCGGCAAGCCGGACCCAGGACAUUGGUUUAACCUGAAAGGACAGCUGACGCGGCCACCGGCACCAGGAGAGCUCAAGGCCUUAAGGAACAAGAUGACGAAGGCGGCGAGCGGUGAACGGACUGGGCCACGCACGCCCCACGGAGCGAGGCAGGCAUGUGGGACCAGGGGCUUGUC